GUCAGUGGAGUGUAGUGGUUUGAGCUUUGGACUGUGACUCUGGAGACUAGGGUUCAAAUCCCCACUCAGCCA
rnacentral:tRNA from 1 species